rnacentral:rRNA from 1 species
UACGUAGGUGGCAAGCGUUGUCCGGAUUUACUGGGCGUAAAGAGCGCGCAGGCGGUCGUCCAAGUCGCGUGUGAAAGCCCCCGGCUCAACUGGGGAGGGUCACGCGAUACUGGUCGACUCGAAGGCAGGAGAGGGUAGUGGAAUUCCCGGUGUAGUGGUGAAAUUCGUAGAUAUUCGGAAGAACACCAGUGGCGAAGGCGACUCACUGGACACGUAUUGACGCUGAGGUGCGAAAGCGUGGGGAGCAAACAGG